UUUCAAUAUUUUAUUCAGAAUACAACAUAGAUGACAUAUCAAAUGUUUAAACUGAGAAAGUGUAUCAUUUUAAGGGAAAAAUAAGUUGAUUUUAAAUUUCAUGGCAUCAACACAUCUCAAAAAAGUUGGGACAAGGCCAUGUUUACCACUGUGUGGCAUCCCCUCUUCUUUUUAUAACAUUUUCAAUAUGGAUAUUUUUCUUACACAAAUGCAUCGAUUCACUUCAGAAGUCCUUUAUUAACCCGCUGGUGCUGUGUGGAGCACUUUUUAUGAUGGAUGGAUGCCAUUUUUUUGUGCUACAAAAUCUCAACCCCCAUUCAUUGCCAUUAUAAAGCUUCUAAGAGUCAUGACAUUUUUUAAUAUAACUCUGAUAAUAUUCGUCUGAAAGAAUAAAAUCAUAUACACCUAGGAUGACUUGAGAGUGUGUAAAUCAUGGGGUAAUUUUCAUUUUUGGAUAAACUAUUCCUUUAAGACAUUGCUCAGGUCCCUUCUGAAAUUAUUGUAGUCUUUUCUCAGAGAAUAAUUGGAGAAACAGAACUUAAGCCUCCUUAAGUCUUAACUUAAGUCUCCAGUGCUCUCCAUUUAAUCUCAUAACUGUCUUUUGGCCAUAUUGCAUAUUAAAGAAUUUCCUUCCUGUGUGUCGUAACUGAAGCAAGUGAAUUUUGGUUAUUGAAUAGCCAGUAUUAAGUCCGCCCCCAUUCUGUUGCAUAAAAAUCUUUUCAUGAAAAAGGAUGUGCAAAUACUAAAGCUGAAUAAACAUGCCAUGAAUAUCGAAUAGUUAUCAUUUUGUAGUUUAGCCUCGUCUUCUGUCUAACUGAAUGCUGUUAGCUUAUCGAUUACGGGUAGCAUCAGUUGUAGUAGCAGGUUGAACUAAUGACUUGUGUGAUUUAUAAUUCAGAUAUGUGUCUCAUCAACCAUGUUGUCUGAGACUUUUUCUAUUUUUCUCUGAGACAUACACAAAGUGUCUGCUUUUAAAUGGAGGAACCUCAUGAAUAAUUCUUGUUGACCCACUUUUCCCCCCAUUAGCUUGAUAUAGUGCUGGAGCUCAAUAGCAGACAGUGCUUGACAGGUCCUCCAGGUGUGGGAGUUUGCUUUUGAAAUAGACUUCACCUCUUUAUUUCUUCUUUUUAUUUUAAGGGAAUGUGCUGGUUUAAAAUAACACAGUGCUGGUAAGGGCGUGUGGGAGUGUCUCUCUCUCACACUGUGCUCUCUCUCUAUGCAUGUGCAUGUGUGUGUGCGAGUGCAGUGUGUUUUGGGAAUUAUCAUCAGGCCUCCGUCUCAGGGGUCAUAUGGAUGGAUAUGUUUGUUGUCCACAGCCGGGCCAUUACUGCAACACAGCAAGCAGGAGAGAAUGAGUCAGGUGGACCUGCAGUAAAAAAACUUAUAGCUGAAUAAUAGAAUGGCUCUCAGCCGCAUGAAUGCUUCGGUGUCCCCGACAGAAAGGCGAGCAGCUCCAGCAGAUGGAAGAAGAGAGAGGGGAAUGGAGAAAGAGUGCGUGAGAGCAUAAAAGCAAGAAACUUAGUGCAGCAUGCCAUACACAGUGUCACCUUCAUAAACAUUUUACCUUAUUCUCCAAUUGUGCAUGUCUUUU
ensembl:lncRNA